rnacentral:rRNA from 1 species
CACGUAGUUAGCCGGGGCUUCUUGGUCAGGUACUGUCAUUUUCUUCCCUGCUGAUAGAGCUUUACAUACCGAAAUACUUCCUCACUCACGCGGCGUCGCUGCAUCAGGGUUUCCCCCAUUGUGCAAUAUCCCCCACUGCUGCCUCCCGUAGGAGUUUGGGCCGUGUCUCAGUCCCAAUGUGGCCGUCCGCCCUCUCAGGCCGGCUACUGAUCGUCGCUUUGGUAGGCCGUUACCCUGCCAACUGGCUAAUCAGACGCGGGUCCAUCAUAUACCACCGGAGUUUUUCACACCGGGGCAUGCGCCCCUGUGCGCUUAUGCGGUAUUAGCACCUAUUUCUAAGUGUUAUCCCCCUGUACUAUGGCAGGUUACCCACGCGUUACUCACCCGUCCGCCACUAGGGCGUGAAAAGUUUGAAGUCUAGUAAACUAUCCCUCUCGCACAUCACGCCCCCGUUCGACUUGCAUGUGUUAAGCACGCCGCCACGCGUUCGACUCCUUCGAGUCCACGGGAUCGAAACUUA